rnacentral:rRNA from 1 species
GACGAACGCUGGCGGCGUGGAUUAGGCAUGCAAGUCGAACGGUAGGAUACCUUCGGGUAUCUGAGAGUGGCGAACGGGUGAGUAACACGUAGGUGAUCUACCCUCAAGAUUGGGACAACCCAGGGAAACUUGGGCUAAUACCGGAUGAAAGCAGCAGUGAUGUUGUUUGAAAGGUGGCGUAAGCUGCCGUUUGGGGAUGAGCCUGCGCUCUAUUAGUUAGUUGGCGGGGUAAAGGCCCACCAAGGCGAUGAUAGAUAGGCGGCCUUAACGGGUGGUCGCCCACACUGGGAUUGAGAUACGGCCCAGACUCCCACGGGAGGCAGCAGUCGAGAAUAGUCUACAAUGGCCGAAAGGCUGAUAGUGCGACGCCGCGUGAACGAAGAAGCCCUUCGGGGUGUAAAGUUCUUUUAUAUGUGAGCAGUGCUUUCUAUGUGAACAUCAUGGGGAGAGAGAUAUUAGCAUAUGAAUAAGCAACGGCUAACUCCGUGCCAGCAGCCG